rnacentral:lncRNA from 1 species
CGAGGCUCCCACCUGCGCUCAGCGCUUGGUAGCUAGGAGGGAAUGGGAGGAUGCUUGCGGGGUAGGGAGGCGAGGGUUGGAAAUUGGCAGAAUGAGAACUGGGGAAACUAGUCUGAGACGCAGCCCUGCUUGUCCCCCUUCUUCAUUCACCCCCAUGUUGAGGGCCUUGGCUUUUGCAUAAUGUGGGAGCUCCUGGAGAGGAGGGUGCUUCCCAGCAGCUCCUGUUCGACCCCCAGCCCCGGGCCAAGGGCACAGAGAGAGAGUGAGACAGAGAGGCUGGGGCUGGGGUGGGGGUGGGGAGGUGGGAGCUGGGGCGGGGCGGGGGGAGCGCGGGGGAGGAAUGAGAGCACCAUAUGACAGGCUUGUGGAACCACAUCUGAUGCCAACUUGGAUGCUGUCCUUUUUCUCCAAUAAAGGAACUUUUCACUUGUUUUUCAGACACCCUUUAAAAAAAUGUAUUUAAAGAGGCUGGUUCCUAUCCAUCCGACUGGAGGCAUCUCAGUGCAAGAGCAAAGCUAAGUCCUGCACAUACACCUCCCCUCCUCCUCCUCCUCCUCCUCC